CACCAGUUCUGGUUUGGGUUUCUUCUUUUUAUUAGCACCAUCUGAGAAUGUCUGUGGUAGAGACUUUGGUGAAUUUCAUCUGUCCUACGGGGUCACAUAGGAAUCACAACCAGGAUACAGUCCUUAAGAAUCUUAGUUGACACCAGAGAUUGUCAUUACCCAGGGUCUCUCCUUGGAGGGGACUUG